rfam:Schistosoma haematobium scaffold1145_9, whole genome shotgun sequence.
GCACUGCUGAGGAGUCCCACAACAGGACGAAACGGCCGUCCAGCGC